CCUACGGGGUGCAGCAGUGAGGAAUAUUGGUCAAUGGACGGAAGUCUGAACCAGCCAUGCCGCGUGCAGGAAGACGGCUCUAUGAGUUGUAAACUGCUUUUGUACAAGGGUAAACCUGAAUACGUGUAUUCAGCUGAAAGUACUGUACGAAUAAGGAUCGGCUAACUCCGUGCCAGCAGCCGCGGUAAUACGGAGGAUCCAAGCGUUCUCCGGAUUUAUUGGGUUUAAAGGGUGCGUAGGCGGAUUGAUAAGUUAGAGGGGAAAUGUCCGAGCUUAACUCGGGAACUGCCUCUAAUACUGUUGAUCUAGAGAGUAGAUGCGGUAGGCGGAAUGUAUGGUGUAGCGGUGAAAUGCUUAGAGAUCAUACAGAACACCGAUUGCGAAGGCAGCUUACCAAUCUAUAUCUGACGUUGAGGCACGAAAGCGUGGGGAGCAAACAGGAUUAGAUACCCGAGUAGUC
rnacentral:rRNA from 1 species